CAGAGAGCGUUGGUUCGUUUUACGGAAUGGACUAAACCACCUUGGGGGACGUAUCCGUUGCGUCACGCUUUGCUUCAUGGGAGUUGUAGUUUUCCCACAUACGAAGCUAGAGUUGAACUUCAACAGCCUCUGCAACUACAAACAUCUGUGCGAAGAUGGUUGUUUAAAGUAAGAGUUACAUGAAAUUAAAGAUAAUAAAAAUAAAAUACAUGCGUUAUUUGGAUUUAUUUCUUAUUUAUACCAUUCAAAAUAAAAACAGUGACCAGAUAAAGAAAAGGGAAUUAGAGAUGAUUUACCAUCAACUUCCUCAUCACUAUGAAUUAGGAAGAUCUAAAUCACCUGUGGGUAAAAGCUUAAAGGCACAGACAGCAUGGAAAGGCAGCGUUUAGUGGACAACUAUGUCUGUACCCAUCCCCUCGGACGCAGAUUGCACAGAGGCUGCAGAAACUCAGAGUGGUGAUGGCGUUUCAUCGAGAAACCAGCUUCUGCAAUAUGUUGAUAACAGACUGAUGAUCCUGUCUGAGAAGAUAAGCAUGUGCAACAAAGUUCUGAAUGACUUACGGGAUCUGAAUGAUGUUCUAGUGAGGAAAUCUCUUCAGGAUGUGCCCUUACCACCACAGAAUUGA
rnacentral:lncRNA from 1 species